rnacentral:rRNA from 1 species
UCGGGAAUUUUGGGCAAUGGGCGAAAGCCUGACCCAGCAACGCCGCGUGAGGGAUGAAGUAUUUCGGUAUGUAAACCUCGAAAGAAUAGGAAGAAUAAAUGACGGUACCAUUUAUAAGCUCCGGCUAACUACGUGCCAGCAGCCGCGGUAAUACGUAGGGAGCAAGCGUUGUUCGGAUUUACUGGGCGUAAAGGGCGCGUAGGCGGCGCGGUAAGUCACUUGUGAAAUCUCUGAGCUUAACUCAGAACGGCCAAGUGAUACUGCUGUGCUAGAGUGCGGAAGAGGCAACCGGAAUUCUUGGUGUAGCGGUGAAAUGCGUAGAUAUCAAGAGGAACACCUGAGGCGAAGGCGGGUUGCUGGGCCGACACUGACGCUGAUGCGCGAAAGCGUGGGGAGCGAACA